rnacentral:rRNA from 1 species
UACGUAGGGUGCGAGCGUUAAUCGGAAUUACUGGGCGUAAAGGGUGCGCAGGCGGCGUCGCAAGUCAGGCGUGAAAUCCCCGGGCUUAACCUGGGAACUGCACUUGAAACUACGAUGCUGGAGUAUGGCAGAGGGAGGUGGAAUUCCACGUGUAGCGGUGAAAUGCGUAGAGAUGUGGAGGAACACCGAUGGCGAAGGCAGCCUCCUGGGCCAAUACUGACGCUCACGCACGAAAGCGUGGGGAGCAAACAGG